rnacentral:lncRNA from 1 species
UUGAUCGUAUCUCGGAACGUCAUCUUCAUUUGGAAAGCUUGUUCCAAAGGAUUUGGGAAGACUAUUGUAAGAUUCAGACAUCUACAAAACGGGAGAAAAUUCAAGUUAAGUUGAUUAGAAUUCUUGAUGCAACACCCAAAUGAAACAUCAAGCUAGGAUCCAACACAAUACUCUACAACCUAGAAGAGGGAUGCCGUAAUCUAGUUGCAGAAUAUUUGAAGGUAGGUAAAUGACGAUUUACCAAUUUCCACCAUGAAAAACGAAAAAGAAGUUUAAGUUUUAAAUGAAUUGAAACUCCUAGAUCUUUUGAGACUCAUUGAACUCUUCAAUGGCAUGUUUAAUCUCGAUUAUGCCCUACUAUUUGUGACUGGGAUGCCGAGGAUCACAAACAAGGUGUGAAUAACCAUACGAAUCACGUGGUGCACCCAAUGCUACAAUCACCUAAUCAAUGUGCCGGUUAGCCACACACGCUCCAUUGAUCUAUGACAAACAUCGAGUCACCCUUCGCUACCAAUGUCAUCCCCAAAUUAGUGUGCCGGUUAACCACACACGCUCCACUAACGUUUGACAAGGGUACGAAGUGUAAUUCCAUGGGUUAGCAUACAAUUUCACAUUUUUCCUAAAGUAACUAUGAUUUGGGAAUUUGAAAAAGCAUUUAGUUACUUUGUACUUCAUUAUACUUAUAAUGGAAGGUUUCUGUCCUAUCCUACCCGUUCGGCUAACGACCCUCCACUAGUCAAGAGUGCGGUGGGUAAGAGUGGAUACCCAUUCAAUCGCCAUUUUAUAGGCAAUUUCCUUAAACACCCCUUAUAGACCAGCUUCGUGAAUGAGGCCUACUAACGGUAAGACUGACUGUUUACUCAUACAUAUAUAAUAUUAGACUUUUAAUGUUAUAUAUAGUAUAGGGUGUAUUUUAUACUUUUAAAAUACUAGUUGGUUUAACUUAGUAAAUUAUACUUUUAAUUUAAUUAAAUGUAAACCAAAACUUUAUGGGUUUAUUAAAUCACUUUUAAUUAUACACGUUAAUUAAUUAAUAAAACCAUAAGGGUGAGAUUUGAACUUUUCAAAUUACUAGGGUUUUAGAAUUUAACAUUUCAAAAUUAAACUUUUAAUCAACUUUUAAAUCCCAAAACUUGAUGGCAAGUUUUGAGACAUUUCAAAACAUUAGAGUUCAGAAUUUAAAUGUUUCAAAAUUAAACCUUUUAAUCAAAAUUUAAAUUCCAAAACUUGAGGGCAAGUUUUGAAACUUUUCAAAACAUAAGGGAUCAAAUAACAAAUAACAUAAAUUAAACAAUUAAUUUCAUAAUUAUCUAUAUUUGACCUAAUCUUAUUUUAGUCAUUAGAUAAUUACCAAAUAACUUUAAAUAAUCCAUAUUUAUCACAUAAACAACUAAUAUUUAAAAGAUUUGAAAUUAUCUAUUGUUUUGGCAUGAUUAAACACUUCAUUAAGAUAAAAUUCGGAUUUUAACUUCAUAAAACGAAUUAGGCAUCAAAUCCAAGUCAAAACAGCAGCCAAAACCUGAAAAUCCAUCUGUCUGACCCCUGGACUCGCCGAGUCAGGGACUAGACUCGCCGAGUUCAUCCACUGACUCGCCAAGUCAGGUCGGGCAGAGGCCAAAAAACUCGAUUUUCAUCAAAUAAAGCAGUUAAGCAUCACAUACAACUGAAACCAAUCAAGGCUCUGAUACCACUGAUGGGUUUUAGGCAUAAGAACAAUCCUAUGUGCUCAUACAAACCCUAAUGCUUGGAUCUAGGUUUCUCUAUUGUACAUGCUUUGAAUCCAAGACUAAUAAACUUAGAUCUAACAUAUUNAUCCUAUGUGCUCAUACAAACCCUAAUGCUUGGAUCUAGGUUUCUCUAUUGUAC